GAUGAACGCUGGCGGCGUGCCUAAUACAUGCAAGUCGAGCGAAUGGGUUAAGAGCUUGCUCUUAUGAAGUUAGCGGCGGACGGGUGAGUAACACGUGGGUAACCUGCCCAUAAGACUGGGAUAACUCCGGGAAACCGGGGCUAAUACCGGAUAACAUUUUGAACCGCAUGGUUCGAAAUUGAAAGGCGGCUUCGGCUGUCACUUAUGGAUGGACCCGCGUCGCAUUAGCUAGUUGGUGAGGUAACGGCUCACCAAGGCAACGAUGCGUAGCCGACCUGAGAGGGUGAGCGGCCACACUGGGACUGAGACACGGCCCAGACUCCUACGGGAGGCAGCAGUAGGGAAUCUUCCGCAAUGGACGAAAGUCUGACGGAGCAACGCCGCGUGAGUGAUGAGGGCUUUCGGGUCGUAAAACUCUGUUGUUAGGGAAGAACAAGUGCUAGUUGAAUAAGCUGGCACCUUGACGGUACCUAACCAGAAAGCCACGGCUAACUACGUGCCAGCCGCCGCGGUAA
rnacentral:rRNA from 1 species